GACUUCUGGUUUAAGGCACCUGGCCCGCGGCUCUUUAGGCUUGUGAGUGCCGGCGCGCGUUUAUUAUUCUUCUGGGGAACGGGUCUGAUCCAGAUCAUUUACUUUGAAAAAAUUAGAGUGUUUAAAGCAGGCUAUGAAUACAUUAGCAUGGAAUAAUAAUCUAGGACUUCGGUUCUAUUUUGUUGGUUUCUCUCACUGAAGUAAUGAUUGAUAGUUGGGGUGCUAGUAUUGGCCGGUCGAAAUUCUUGGAUUCGGUCAAGACUAACUUAUGCGAAAGCAUU
rnacentral:rRNA from 1 species